rnacentral:rRNA from 1 species
UGCAGUCGAGCGGCAGCGACUUAACUGAACCUUCGGGGAACGUUAAGGGCGGCGAGCGGCGGACGGGUGAGUAAUGCCUGGGAAUAUACCCUGAUGUGGGGGAUAACUAUUGGAAACGAUAGCUAAUACCGCAUAAUCUCUUCGGAGCAAAGAGGGGGACCUUCGGGCCUCUCGCGUCAGGAUUAGCCCAGGUGGGAUUAGCUUGUUGGUGAGGUAAUGGCUCACCAAGGCGACGAUCCCUAGCUGGUCUGAGAGGAUGAUCAGCCACACUGGAACUGAGACACGGUCCAGACUCCUACGGGAGGCAGCAGUGGGGAAUAUUGCACAAUGGGGGAAACCCUGAUGCAGCCAUGCCGCGUGUGUGAAGAAGGCCUUCGGGUUGUAAAGCACUUUCAGUAGGGAGGAAGGUAGUGUAGUUAACACCUGCAUUAUUUGACGUUACCUACAGAAGAAGCACCGGCUAACUCCGUGCCAGCAGCCGCGGUAAUACGGAGGGUGCGAGCGUUAAUCGGAAUUACUGGGCGUAAAGCGCAUGCAGGCGGCCUGUUAAGUCAGAUGUGAAAGCCCGGGGCUUAACCUCGGAAUUGCAUUUGAAACUGGCAGGCUAGAGUCUUGUAGAGGGGGGUAGAAUUUCAGGUGUAGCGGUGAAAUGCGUAGAGAUCUGAAGGAAUACCAGUGGCGAAAGCGGCCCCCUGGACAAAGACUGACGCUCAGACGCGAAAGCGUGGGGAGCAAACAGGAUUAGAUACCCU